rnacentral:lncRNA from 1 species
CAGCAUUAGUAUAUGCCCUUCAAAUGUGAAUUUGCUGAGCCUUGUACUCAUCAAAUUGUUGCUUCCAGUGCACAGUGAGUGAGAGGCAUUGAAAGGUUACUGCCUGUGCACAAUGAGCUGAUGGCAUUGAAAGGCCAUUCUCACCACAUGGCGGUACAAAAACAGGAGGAAGGCAUGAAAAUCAGAAUACGUGCGUCAAAGCCUUACACAAUAUAUCAGAUGGAUUCAACAAUUGAUGCUAGUCCAAGAAUAUGGUUUACCAUACUAAUUGGCAGUUAUAGUGGUUUUUCCCGAUUAAAGACAAACUGCGGGAG